UGGGGAAUAUUGCACAAUGGCGGGAACUCUGAUGCAGCGACGCCGCGUGAACGAAGAAGGCUUUCGAGUCGUAAAGUUCUUUUAUAUGGGAAGAUAAUGACGGUACCAUAAGAAAAAGCCCCGGCUAACUACGUGCCAGCAGCCGCGGUAAUACGUAGGGGGCUAGCGUUGUCCGGAAUCCCUGGGCGUAAAGGGUUCGCAGGCGGAAAUGCAAGUCAGGUGUAAAAGGCAGUAGCUUAACUACUGUAAGCAUUUGAAACUGCAUAUCUUGAGAAGAGUAGAGGUAAGUGGAAUUUUUAGUGUAGCGGUGAAAUGCGUAGAUAUUAAAAAGAAUACCGGUGGCGAAGGCGACUUACUGGGCUCAUUCUGACGCUGAGGAACGAAAGCGUGGGUAGCAAACAGG
rnacentral:rRNA from 1 species